rnacentral:lncRNA from 1 species
AUGAAAAGCAGAUUAAAGGGAUGCAUAUGGAAUGAACUGAGACCCCUGAGUUACAACAGAACUACGGAAGUUGUCCACAGUACCGUUCCAAGAAUAGCCAGUGUCCAUAACAGAGGAGGCUCGCUCAUCUUCAGAAGGAGGAAAAGCAUCUGGGUGGCCAUGGCAGGUACCAGGUCAUGUGGAUCCAGAGUGACAGGAACGUGUGGAAUGAAGGAGCACCAAUUAUGAGCAGUGCACAGAGAAGUCCAGCCCUUCACGGCUUGGGGUGGUCCUUGGUGCCCCUGUACCGGAAGUGGUGCGUGCCAGCUCUGCAGGACUUUAGCAACCCCCACCCCAAGUCUUCAUCCGCUUCCCUAGGCCUUCAUAUGAACAUAGCUGGUUAGCAUUUAACUGUGGAGAAGAAGAGCGUUAGAGAUGUGAAGGCUUCCACGUACAUUAAGAAGAAAUCCCAGCUCUGGCAGAGGUGAUC